rnacentral:rRNA from 1 species
GACGAACGCUGGCGGCGUGCCUAAUACAUGCAAGUAGAACGUACAGUUUAUACCGUAGCUUGCUACACCAUAGACUGUGAGUUGCGAACGGGUGAGUAACGCGUAGGUAACCUGCCUGGUAGCGGGGGAUAACUAUUGGAAACGAUAGCUAAUACCGCAUAAUAUUAAUUAUUGCAUGAUAAUUAAUUGAAAGGUGCAAUUGCACCACUACCAGAUGGACCUGCGUUGUAUUAGCUAGUAGGUGAGGUAACGGCUCACCUAGGCGACGAUACAUAGCCGACCUGAGAGGGUGAUCGGCCACACUGGGACUGAGACACGGCCCAGACUCCUACGGGGGGCAGCAGUAGGGAAUCUUCGGCAAUGGACGAAAGUCUGACCGAGCAACGCCGCGUGAGUGAAGAAGGUUUUCGGAUCGUAAAGCUCUGUUGUAAGAGAAGAACGGGUGUGAGAGUGGAAAGUUCACACUGUGACGGUAUCUUACCAGAAAGGGACGGCUAACUACGUG